ACAGGAGGUGGGGUCUUGCAGCAGUCACAUGCUCCUCGGCUUCCAGAUUUGGUCAGGAGACAUCUCAUUACGAAAUAAUGGUCAAAUAAUGAAGAAAAUUUGACUAGACCUUAUACAGAUAUCCGAUGGUUCAAGAAUAAAAUUGAACAUAAUGGCUUCCACGUGAAAGUUGGUGCUAACUUUGUGUGACAAGUGGAAAUUCUACAAGACUCUGCAAUGAUUAAGAUGGUACACCCUGCAUCUUCAUUUGCUGCCUCUCACUCCUGUAAUGGGGCUUGUGACUAAACUGAAGGCCAUCUUUCAUAAGUCUCCAAUUUAUGUCCAAAUACAUUCAUGAGCCAGAAGAACCCAUCAUCAU